rfam:Helobdella robusta unplaced genomic scaffold HELROscaffold_190, whole genome shotgun sequence.
ACACUGUACAGGCACUGGAGAUACCGUGAUCAACAAGGCGGUUCUCCGCGGACAAGAUUCAACCAUUACACUGAGGUUGGAUUGACUCUGCGAUUACCCAAAAGUGGGUAAAUCGGUGUCCAAUUUCUGAUAGUGGGGAGACUGCGUUUGCGCUAUUUCCCU